UACGGAGGGAGCUAGCGUUGUUCGGAAUUACUGGGCGUAAAGCGCACGUAGGCGGCUUUGUAAGUUAGAGGUGAAAGCCUGGAGCUCAACUCCAGAAUUGCCUUUAAGACUGCAUCGCUUGAAUCCAGGAGAGGUGAGUGGAAUUCCGAGUGUAAAGGUGAAAUUCGUAGAUAUUCGGAAGAACACCAGUGGCGAAGGCGGCUCACUGGACUGGUAUUGACGCUGAGGUGCGAAAGCGUGGGGAGCAAACAGG
rnacentral:rRNA from 1 species